rnacentral:rRNA from 1 species
UGGGGAAUAUUGGACAAUGGGCGAAAGCCUGAUCCAGCCAUGCCGCGUGUGUGAAGAAGGUCUUCGGAUUGUAAAGCACUUUAAGUUGGGAGGAAGGGCAGUAAGCGAAUACCUUGCUGUUUUGACGUUACCGACAGAAUAAGCACCGGCUAACUCUGUGCCAGCAGCCGCGGUAAUACAGAGGGUGCAAGCGUUAAUCGGAAUUACUGGGCGUAAAGCGCGCGUAGGUGGUUCGUUAAGUUGAAUGUGAAAGCCCCGGGCUCAACCUGGGAACUGCAUCCAAAACUGGCGAGCUAGAGUAGGGCAGAGGGUGGUGGAAUUUACUGUGUAGCGGUGGAAUGCGUAGAUAUAGGAAGGAACACCAGUGGCGAAGGCGACCACCUGGGCUCAUACUGACACUGAGGUGCGAAAGCGUGGGGAGCAAACAGG